CGGUGAAAUGCGUAGAGAUUAGGAGGAACACCGGUGGCGAAGGCGGCUUACUGGACUGUAACUGACGCUGAAUCACGAAAGCGUGGGUAGCAAACAGGAUUAGAUACCCUGGUAGUCCACGCUGUAAACGAUGAGUGCUAGGUGUUGGUCAGCGAUGGUCGGUGCCGAAGCAAACACAAUAAGCACUCCGCCUGGGGAGUACGGUCGCAAGACUGAAACUCAAAGGAAUUGACGGGGACCCGCACAAGCAGCGGAGCAUGUGGUUUAAUUCG
rnacentral:rRNA from 2 species